rnacentral:rRNA from 1 species
UACGUAGGGUGCAAGCGUUGUCCGGAAUCAUUGGGCGUAAAGCGCGCGUAGGUGGCCAUUUAAGUCCGCUGUGAAAGUCAAAGGCUCAACCUUUGAAAGCCGGUGGAUACUGGAUGGCUAGAGUACGGAAGAGGCGAGUGGAAUUCCUGGUGUAGCGGUGGAAUGCGCAGAUAUCAGGAGGAACACCAAUAGCGAAGGCAGCUCGCUGGGACGUUACUGACACUGAGACGCGAAAGCGUGGGGAGCGAACAGG